GAAGAAGAAGCUCCUAGAAACCGUCCAUUGCAAAGAUGGGUCCCAGCGCGACUCCUGUCAGUCCGUCAGCUGACAACAUGUUUAGAUCCAACGGGCUUCCCGUCAACCUACCGAAACACUCCUACUGGAUGGAUUUCUGGGCCUUUGUGCUUUUCGACGUCGCUUUAUUCCUCUUUGUAUAUUUCAUCGUCCCUUAAAGGGGAUGGACCCCUUGGACUGGCUGCUAAGGAUGUGGAGUGCUGCUCUUACCACGCUGUGAGAAGGCUAACCCAGCUUUGACUGAAUUGAACCAUGCGGCAGCUGCCCACAGCUCGCUCCAAAGGUGCUAACAUUUCAUGGGAAAUGCAUCCUGACUUCAUAUCAGACUUCAGCCAGAAGCUGCACACUAACUAUUCAAGCGGAUUCCUUUUGUCGAAGCCAUGGAGAGGAAAAUUGAAGUAUUUAUGUGCUACUGGGAACUAAAAACCCCUUGAAUGACUACAAUCUCCAAGACUCUGAAAAAACAUGUUUGCAAAUGAUUUUUAGAUGUCUCUGUCAUCUCUAUAAAUGUUAACUAAUAAUGUCUUUUUUUUAUCUGG